CAUUUAAGUUGGAGUGUUAGGUAUUUUAUCUCAGCAGUAAGAAAAGUAACUAAGACAGCACUCUUUGGAAUCUUGUGAUUUCCCUUAUGUGUUAUGUUGAUGUGACAUUUUAUAUUAAGUUUCCAGAUAUUACACCUCCACUAAAUUUUGUGGGUAAGCUUUUUUGGUUUCUUAGAUUACUCUUUCACUGUGGACUUUGACUCUUUCAAACAUUUGUAAUAGGGUAAGGGUGAGGGAUAAAAUUUGUAGGUUGGUUUAUAUGUUAAUGCUUUAGUCUGGCCCCAGAAGUUUUUACUUUGAAAAAAAUCAACACAUAAAAUUUAUACAUAUUUAUGUGGUGUCAUGCGUUGGCUUGAUACAUGGAUACAUUGUGUAAUGUUCAAAUUGGGGUAAGCAUGGUCUACUUCCCCAAACAUUUGUCCUUUUUGUGAUGAAAACAUUCAAAAUCUGUUCUUUAGCUUUUCUGAGAUACACAGUACAUUGUUUUUAAUACCCACUGACAACCUCCCCAGUGCCCCAGUCAUUGGUAACUAUUAUUCUGCUAUCGUCUUCUCUGACAUCAAUUUUUAGGUCCCACAAGUGAGAGUGUGCGCACUAUUUGUCUGUCUGUGUCUGGAUUAUUUCAUUUACCACAAUGUCCUCCAGUUCCAUUCCUGUUGUUUCACGUGACAGGAUUUCAUCCUUUCUUACUGCGUUCCAGUAUGCCAUUGUGUGUAUGUACCGUAGUUUCUUUAUUCAUUCAUCACUUCAUGGGCACAUCGGUUUAUUCCAUUUUGUGGCUCUUGUGAAUAGUGUUGCAAAUGACAUAGAAAUGCAGAUGUCUUUUCGAUGUAUGGAUUUCAUUUCCUUUGGAGUCAUACCCGGUAGUGGUGUCACUGGAUGAUAUAGUCGUUCUAUUUUUUAUUUUGUGAAGAUUGUUCACACUGCUGUCUAUGGUUCUAUAAUGACUGUCCCAAUUCACAUCCCCACCAACAGUGUGCAAGCGUUCCCUUUCUUUCUCACGUUCUUUCCAACACUUUUUUGGGUCUUUUUUGAUAACAUCCAUGCUAACAGGUGCAAGGUAAAAUCUCAUUGUGGGUUUGACUUAUAUUUCCUUAGUGAUGAGCAACUUUAAGUGUUUUUCAUAUAUAGCUUGGCCAUUUAUAUGUCUUCUUUUGAGAAAUGUCUAUUUAGGUCAGUUAUAUAUUUUAAAGUCAGCUUAUUGAUUUGCUUUGGGUGUGGAGUUGAGUUCCUUAUAUAGUCUCGGUGUUAAUUCCUUGUCAAAUGAGUAGUUUGUAGAUAUUUUAUUCCAUUAUAUAGGCUGUUCUUUCAUUCUAUUGAUUGUUUUGCUAUGUAGAAGCUUUUUAGCUAGAUGUAAUUCUUUUUAUUUUAACUUUUGUUUGUGCUUUGGGGUCUUACCCCAAAAAACCUUUGCUAAUUUCAGUGUCGUGAAGUGUUUCCUCUAUGUUUCCUUCUAGUAAUUUUAUACUUUCAGACCCCAUGUUUAAGUCUUUAAUCCAUUUUGAGGUUUUUUUUUGUAUAUAGUCACCAGGUUCUGACAUCAAGUAUUGGAAGACAGGAAGGAACAGGCAGAGCUUGCAAAGAUGAAGAACAGUUAAAGGUUUGGCUUACUGGAUCAUUCCCAGGGUACCCUUUGUGACAGAGAAAUGAAGUAAUGGGAGAAGUGGAAAAGAAACAAAAGUAUCAGGAUGCUGUCCUUAUUUUCUCUCCCCCAGGCCCACCAUGACUUUGGCACAGUCCAGCAGAGUACCGGGGAUCGAACUCACAACCUUGUGCUUGCUAGGCAGACGCUUAUGCCACUGAGCUAUAUCCCCAGCCCUCCUGGCUAACUUUUACAACCUAGAAAAUAUGGAAAGCAACCAUUCCUAUUUUUGUUUGUUUUUUUUUGAAUCUUGCAUACCCCCCAAAAAAUCCAAAAUAAAAGACCUAGU